UGUAAAAAAUACAGUUGGUCUUGUGAAACAGUUUGUUUUAUCUGAAUUGCUGAAGAGUAUUGUUCAGUUAUUUAAUGUGGUCACAAGAGGGCGCUUUAUGUGUGCUUAAUGACGGAGAUCCUGUUAUAUGUGCAUUGCAUGAUGGGAAGCAGAUGGGCUAACGUUCUCAUAACGAAGCUACCACGAAGUGUUACUGAACAAGACUUGUGAACGUUUAUGAAAGGAUUUGGUUUUAUUUUCCCAGAGAGAAGGAGUGUUUUGUUUUCAGUUUUAAAGAAGUGCGAACGCGACUGUAACCGGAGCAGAUAUAUUUUCGUUUUACCGAGGACUCCGAUUGGUUUUUCUUUUCCCUUGGUUCACGCCGAGUGCUGGAUCUACGAAAAGCCAACAGCAGUCAGUUAGCCGGAGAUUCCAUUCGAGACGUGGUGGAAUCGGGAGGAUGCCUAAUUCUUCAUACUCUUCAUGGAGGACCACAUCCGGAGGAGAAACCCCUGAACAGCGCGCAGUACUCAUUUACACACACACUACCCGGGUAGCAUACACAUACACUGAAUAGACUUGGACUGACUUGGAUUUGGACUGGACUUUGAAUUGGACACAUUGAACUUUGAACUUUUGAUAUCUGAACAGCUACAAGCUGUCAAGGACAAUUUCUUUCAUUUUGUUGUUGCAUUAUUGGGCUACAUGGGAGUUCUGAAAUCUGAAUGAGUCCAUUGUGAGAAUAAAUCCCUGUGUUGUUUAUCAUA